UACGUAGGCAGCAAGCGCUGUUCGGAGUUACUGGGCGUAAAGGGUGCGUAGGCGGUCCUAUAAGUAUGGUGUGAAAUCUCCCGGCUUAACUGGGAGGGUGCGCUAUAGACUGUUUACCUAGAGUGUGAGAGAGGGACGUGGAAUUCCGGGUGUAGUGGUGAAAUGCGUAGAGAUCCGGAGGAACCCCAGAGGCGAAGGCGGCGUCCUGGCUCACAACUGACGCUCAUACACGACAGCAUGGGGAGCGAACGGG
rnacentral:rRNA from 1 species